rnacentral:lncRNA from 1 species
GCCGAUGUGAUUAGUGAUGUUCCACUGACCUUGAGGUGUGUUAUCACAUACCAAGCAAUUAAUCUACUACCUAAAGUCAUUUUCAUUGCCUCGAUAUCAUUCCCUAUGUCUUUCUUGAAUUCUUUGCUCAAGACAAUUUCCCUGAGAUUAGUUUCCUUUUUGUUCACUUCAGUUUUUAUUUGUUCUAUAGUUCACACCUGGUCCCUUUAGUGUAACUUAUCGAAUAACAAAGUUUUGUCUUUUAUUCACUGGAUGUGGUUCCUAUAGUCAGGGAAAAACAUCUACCUAUAUUGCUGACAUAGUUGCAAGAUUUAUACGUAUUGAGCAAGAACUCAUUAGAUCGAGAUAUGUCCAACAAGGAGAUCUCUCUUGCCUCUUAUGAAGUGUGGCAGAUUUAGAAAGAAAGUGUGGAGAUUUCUUUUAGGCCAAAGAGGGAUGGGUUUGGAAGAGUUAGUUUCUAAAGUUAUUUAGAAUGUUAACCUCCUGUUGGAGGCAUUUGGCACUUAGCCUUUGCUGCUGUACAGCCGAGCUAACUUAUUGACAUCCUCGAAAUUUCCUUACUUUUUAAAUCUUGUUAUGUUGCCUCUUGGGUAGGCUUCAACCUGGUUCCUGUAGAAAAAAAUAAGAUUGCAAAAGUAUAUUAUUAGCAUGUAUCAAUUGUAGUGCAUAACACAUCAAAUUGUACGCAAUGAUGUCCCUUUGUAUGUAAGAACAAGUGAACACAUAAUGUAUUUUUUGUGUCUAUACCUUCAAUGUGGGUAUCUGAAUCUAAACCCAAAAAUAUAUUAUUUUCCUUUUUUGUUUUAUUAUGUUUCAAAUACUUAGCGGGGCUGUUUGUUAAUUCAGGCGGUAUCGCUUCUAUUUUCUUUCUGUUUAUUUCCUUUAAUCAAAAUUUUUGAACUGGACAAGAGAGGGUUUUUUAAGAUCCUGGACAAGGGAGGUUGUCCCCUCCUAUUUUGAUCGCUGAAUAACUCAUGAAAUGGAUGAUAUAGCCAUCAAGAUUUUGUUAUUCUUACACUGAAUGCAUCUAAAGAAAAUAUUGUUACAAGUAAUGAAUGGAUUGUUGUACAUCAAGAUCUGUGUUUUUCUUCAACACUCUUUGAUCCAUUGUUUCUAAAGGCAAUGGUGAAAAAUGUAUUCUCUUCAUUAGUUUCGAGGAGGUGUGACUUUUUUCUCCUCACACAAAGCGAGGAAGUAAAUAACUCCAUUCUCUUAUUUCUAGGCAGGAUGUAUAAGGUUUGACACAUGCGUGAAAUAUAACUCAAGAGGGUUGCGUGUUGAAUGAGUGACAUUAUGAGUUUGAUAUUUUUUCUAAGGAUUUAAAUGCUUCUAGAUUUUUUGAAAUAUGAUUGCUUUGUAAGAGUGUUUAUUGCGCAACAGUGUUAUGUAUAUUGAUAACCAAGAAGAGUGAGUGAAGAGGAUGGAAUAAAUGGCCGCAACUACAUUACAUUUUUGCCAUAUUAGGUGUGCAUGGGCGAGUACUUAGAUGAUGCUAGACGAGUCCAAUCGCAGCAAUAAGAGCCAAAUGUGAGUUGAGAGGCAGGUUAAGUGGGUAUAAGAAGUGACACAAACCUUAUCAAAUAUUGUCUAAUCAAGGUAGGGGAAGGUACAUAAAUCAUGGCGAAGCGAUGGCGAGUAGGAUGAUGAUGGGGCCAAACAAUCAUUGUUGAUCUAAAGGCAGACCCGAAGGCGACAGUGGAGAGACCAUCAAUGUAACAGUAACUAUAGUAUGACUAACCAGAGUAGGGAAAGAUACAUACACAAGGACGAAGCAACGAUGCAACUGAAUCACAACUCCAAAUGCACGGCUACCUUUUUCCUACAGAUUUGGUCAAGGGAGUGACAAACCUUUUUGUAUACUGAAUCACAAUGACAAAUAUAUGCACUAGAAAAUUUGAGUGUGGGUCAUGUGGGUUUUAUUUAAAGUGCAGGUACAAUGCGAUAUUUUUCACAACAAUCAUAUGCUACCUCCAACAUACAUAGUGUAAAUUAUAACAACAUUAAAGUCAAUUUCUCUCUGAAAAAUUUAUUUUUGUUUCGUGGCAACGCACGGGCAUUCAACUAGUGUUACUAGUUGCUCUAUGUUUCAGAACAUAUGCAGCUGUUGUAUGUCGGGCAUGCGGCUGUUGUAUGUGAUUGUUUUAACAUCUUCUUGUUAAUAUUUGUACAGACUUUGCACGCUACAUUUUGAUGAGAAGAUAAACUUGCUAUUGUUAAGAUGAUAAAAAAUGGACAUCUUGAUGUCCAGGACAUGUUCUCUACUAUAGAAGAGAUUACUCAAGAGAUGUUACUGGUUGCUCUAUAUUUUAGAACAUAUAUCCGUCUGUUAUAUGCGAUUGUUGUAACAUCUUCCUUAAGUUAUGACUGCAACUGUUAUAUGUAACAUCUUCUGAUCUAUUGCAGGUUUCCCAAAGGUGCACAAGUUCACUAAGGUUUGGAAGAUCUUCAAGUUGCUGAAGAUUUGGAAGACCUAAAAUUAAGUUGGUGGAGUGAUAAUGACCUGUGUCUUGUUUGUUGAACGUAAAGACUUGCUCUGCUCAUUUUGGUGGUUGUUGAAUUAGCUUAUUUAGGUUGUGUGGCACACAUCUAGAAACAUAUGUACAUCCCUAGUGGCACUACUUUAUUUUGGGUGUGUGGCAAAUGUAUAUAUGUAAUCCUUUUGUGGUACUACCUCUUUAUAUAUGGUCGUUAAGUUUAAGGUUUUCGAUGAGGCCUAUAUGCUACUUUGAUUGAAGUGCAUGUAUAAAUUGUGUGCUAUGUCCUGAGUGCGUAUAUAUAUGGAUGGAUAUUACAUAAUAGGUUUGCCUAGAACAUUUUGCUAGUGAA